UUUAUGCUUCUAUGAAAUUUACAAGGUUAGUCUAAUCAACAAUGCAUCUUAACCAUUUUGGAUAGUUAACAUAUAGGCCAAAUAGUGGUUUUAAGUCCGAAGCAAUUUUCAUCUUAUAAACGAAUUUUGAAGAUCGAGUUAGACACGACACAAAUUUUAUGUUACUUUUUUGUUUUGUUUUUGAGAGAACAAAUUUUAUCAUAUAUAAAAUAUUUUGAAGUCUCCACAAUGGUAUCAUAACUGAAAUUUUGACGGCAUUUUGCCACAAUAUAAAGGUUUGCAGUGUAAAACAACAAUUUAAAACCAUGGAGUGUACCUUAGUUAUAUUGGGAACCAAAGAACGCAAUGCGUAAAGCUUAUCCUUCAUUCGGCUUCGCCUCCUCCUCUCAGAAACCAAAGUCUUGGAUCUAUCAUUUUUCGACUUUGGCUUAGUAUCACCACUUGUAGUUGUUGUGGUAAUGCUUGUUGUUGUUGUUGCAGGAGAGGAGUAGUUAUCACCAUCAUUUUCUACUCUUAAUUCCUCCUUAGCUUCUCCAUCAAAACAAGAGAAAGAACCAAGUGAAGAAGUAGGAUCAAAAGUAGCAGUGAUAGUAUUUUCUAUGUUGUGAUCAAAUGGGUUUGAAGGAAAUGAAAGGAGUGAGUUAUCAACAAAACUUUGAUUCAUUAUAAGGUCAGAAUUGAAGUUACAAAUAGUAGUAUCUUCAUUCUCCUCCCCACGAAUCAAAUUGAUGAAUUGAUCAAAGUUUGGAUCGUCAAUGAAAUCAUGUAACUCAUAGUCAUUGUUAAUGUUUGCAAGUGUCUCUGGAUAAAAAUCCAUUGUGUUUAUUUUGGUUGAAAGUUGGAACAUAUGCUGAGUGAGAGAUCUAAAUAUUGUAUAUGUAUAUAUGUAACUUUUUUGUUCUUGACCCUCCGACUCUUGUAAGGCGCCCUGCUAAUCCAGAGUUAGACCGAAAAGCAAAUAACGUCUAGUUAAAUACUGUUUCAGUCAAGAUUCUAACUCAGUUUUUUU
rnacentral:lncRNA from 1 species